ensembl:misc_RNA Vault Vault RNA
GGGCUGGCUUUAGCCCAGCAGUUCCUUCGAGUCUGGCUUCCCAACCGCCCGGGCCCAUUGGUCCGGUGGUUCGAGACCCGCGGGCACUGUCCAGUCCUUUA